CUGUCUGAUUUUUUUAAAAGUUGAUGGCCAAAACCCGGAAAUACCCAUAUCCGCUUCCGGAAUCGGAUCCGAUAUUGUAAUUUUCUUCUCAUGUCAGCCAUUUUGUUUUCAAUGUUGUUUUUGUCAGAUACGAUUUUACUCGAAUUUACACAUUAUUUGUCGACGAUUUUCUGUAUAAAGCUAGCGGUUGAACAAAAUGAACAUCGCUGUCAUGAAUAAAUAAUGCUAAAAACAAGUUUUGAGAUCGUUUAUUAGGAGACUUUGGUAAAAAGGUUUGCAAAGUUAUUUUUUUAUUUCCUCUCAAGUCGGGCAUGUCGAUCGUAGCUAGUAACCAAGUCGAAAGUCCGACUGCAAAAGUGGAAGGUCGCAGACCUCGGACAACCGCUAAUUUGAACCCCUGCCUCCAAAUUGAAAAGAUACAAAAAUUUCGUCUGAUAAUUUAAAAUUGCCGCCAACAGCAUGAGCAGUGGAACUUAUUUUAAGACUACUGACGUAGUUGACUACGUAUUGACGACAAACAAUAUUCCUAC
rnacentral:lncRNA from 1 species